GACGUAGGAUGCAAGCGUUGUCCGGAUUUAUUGGGCGUAAAGAGUUCGUAGGCGGUUCGUUAAGUCUGAUGUUAAAGACUGGGGCUCAACCUCGGAAAUGCAUUGGAUACUGGCGGACUGGAGUACAGUAGAGGCAAGCGGAAUUCCCAGUGUAGCGGUGAAAUUCGUAGAUAUCGGGAGGAACACCAGUGGCGAAGGCGGCGAUCUGGGCAGAUACUGACGCUGAGGUGCGAAAGCGUGGGGAGCAAACAGGG
rnacentral:rRNA from 1 species